CGACGGCAUGGCUACCAUGCAUGUCGAGGGCAGCAGGUCCUUAGGGAUGCUGGCGAGUGGCGGACGGGUGAGUAAUAGGUAGGAACCUAUCCUAGUGUGGGGGACAACCCAGGGAAACAGGGGCUAAUACCGCAUGAGCCCUGAGGGAGAGAGAGCGGAGGAGUCUACGGACCUCGUGCUGAAGGAGGGGCCUACGUCCGAUUAGCUAGUUGGUGGGGUAAAGGCCUAGCAAGGCGACGAUCGGUAGCUGGUCUGAGAGGACGACCAGCCACGCUGGGACUGAGACACGGCCCAGACUCCUACGGGAGGCAGCGGAGAGGAAUUUUUCGCAAUGGGGGCAACCCUGACGAAGCAAUGCGGCGUGGAUGAAGAAGGCCUUCAGGUUGUAAAGUCCUUUCGUGGGGGACGAAAGGGCGGAUCCGAAUACGGUCUGCUAUUGACGUGAACCCAAAAAGAAGCACCGGCUAACUCCGUGCCAGCAGCCGCGGUAAU
rnacentral:rRNA from 1 species